GACGAACGCUGGCGGCGUGCUUAACACAUGCAAGUCGAACGGAAAGGCGCUGCUUUUGCGGGGUGCUCGAGUGGCGAGCGGGUGAGUAACACGUGAGUAACCCGCCCUUGACUGGGGGAUAACUUCAGGAAACUGGGGCUAAUACCGGAGAGGAGAUCCUGCAGCAUGGGGGGGGUUGGAAAGUUUCGGCGGUGGGGGAUGGACUCGGGGCUUAUCAGCUGGUUGGUGGGGUAGUGGCUGACCAAGGCUUUGACGGGUAGCCGGCCUGGGAGGGUGACCGGCCACCUUGGUCCUGCGGUACGCCCCAGUCUCCUACGGGAGGCAGCGGUCGGAAGUCUUGCACAGUGGGCCGGCGCCUGUUGCAGCAGCGCCGCGUGCGUGAUGCCGGCCUUCUGGUUGUAAACCGCUUUCGCCUGUGACGAAGCGUUAGUGACGGUAAUGGGUAAAGAAGCACCGGCUAACUACGUG
rnacentral:rRNA from 1 species